ensembl:lncRNA
AACAGUUAAUAACAUGUUAUAUUACUACGUUGUUAGUCAAAAAGUUAUUUUCAAACGUAAAACAAAACACGAAGGGUAUUACAAAAAUAAAAUAUAAUAAAAUAUAAUAUAAUAAAAUAAGCAAAUAAUUAAUCAAAUAAUUAAUAAAAUAAAUAAGUAAAUAAAUAAGUAAAUAAAUAAGUAAAUAAAUAAGUAAAUAAAUGGGUAAAGAAUUAAGUUAAUAAGUAAAUACAAGUAAGAACGAAUAAAACGAAUAAAAUGCUUCAAUAACAGCGGAGAGACAUCUAUUGAGGACUCUUUAAGCUAAAAUAUUUUGUAAUAUAAUGUUUUAAAUUGACUUAAUUUACAAUCCACGUUGGAAAAAAAAAAAAAAAAAAAAAAAAAAACACAGCACAGCACAGUACAACGCAACACAAUACAAUACAACACAGUACAAUGCUAAACAAUACAAUAGUUUUGUAUGGUACAAAAUAAAUAACUACCUGAUUUUUUUCGAAAACUACCUGAUUUUUUUUAAAAACUACCUGAUUUUUUUUUGAAAGAAGAACAUAUACAGAAAAGGGUAUAAAAUAAAGUGCAUCGAUAUAUGUUUAUAUACAAAAAAUACGUAAAAAAAACGAACAAAAUACUUUCCGAAUUUUAAAAAAUGAAAAUAACAAAAAAACAAGGUAUAAUUAUGCUUUUUAUGUAUAGCAUUUCAACUACAGCUAUUGUUUAUCAAAAUUAUAUAUUUAUUUCAACAAUUUUAAAAAAUUUUAGAGUUUUUGAAUGGCUUUGUAAUAAAAAUAAAAUCGGACUUGAUAAAAAUGAUUAUAUUUUAUGUAUAGAACAAGAAAAUUAUAUUCAAUUUUUAUUAGUUGUUGGAUUUAUAGUACAAUUUAUAUCAGGUUCUAUAGGAAGUAUAUUAAUCAGUUUAUUUUCAAAAAAAAAAUAUAUUUCUAAAAUUUCUUUUAUUUUUUUAUUAAUCGGAUGGAUGGUUUUAAGUAUAACUUUAUAUUAUUCGAAAAUUUUUGCUGAUGAAUACAUUAAUAAAGACUUUGACUAUUUAAAAAAAGAUGAUCUUCAACAAUCAAUAAACAAGAAAUUUAAUUUAAUUACAUUUUUUUUAAAUGUAGCUUUUAUAUUUUUUGGUAUUGGAUCUGAUAAUUCCUAUUUACCAAUUAUAUAUUACGUUAAUGAAACAUAUCCAGUACAAAAUGUUACUUCUAUAGGAGACUCUAAAAAUAUUGAUACAAAUAAAAGUAGCGAUACAAAUAAAAGUAGCGAUACAAAUAAAAGUGGUUAUACAAAUAAAAGUGGUUAUACAAAUAAAAGUAGCGAUACAAAUAAAAGUGGUUAUACAAAUAAAAGUGGUUAUACAAAUAAAAGUGGUUAUACAAAUAAAAGAAAUAAUUUUGAAAAUACCAUUAUCGAUGUAUACAACAACAGUAAUGAUAAAAAUGAAAGUAAUAACAUAUUAUAUAAAAUUGAUAAAUCGAUAAAUAAUAGUUUUCCCACAAGAGACUCAACACAUAACGAUACAACUGAAAACAAAAAAAUCAAAAAAAUUUUUAAAAAUGUAAACUUCACAAAACUGAAAGAACAAAUUACUUCUCCAUUUUAUUUAUUUAUAACAGCUGAAUUUUUUUUAUUAACUUUUAGUAUUUGUUUUUUUAUGUUUUCUUUAUUUGAAAUAUAUGAUAAUAAAAACUUCGAAAAUACAUUAACUUUAUUUUCUUUUAUUUUACCAUGUAGUUUUCUCGUUACCUUAGUUUUUGGAAUAAUAGCAGAUGUUAUAAAUAUAUAUAAUUUUAUAAGUUUUAAUUUAAUAUUAGGUAUAAUAGUUUUUACAUCUAUUUUAUUUUAUUAUAAAACACAUAAUGUUACCAUAGGAUAUAUAUCUUUAAUUAUUUAUUUUAUUCAUCAAAGUUUUUUUGCAAAUCACAUGUAUAUGUAUAUGUCAACCAUCUUUAAAUCAAAAAAUUUCGAAUUUCUAAUUGCCAUUAUUAAUAUUUUUGCAUCUUUUGCUUUUAUAUUAGCAUAUAAAAUACAUGAGUAUAUAACACAACAGAACAAUAUUAGCCUAUACUCAAAAAAGACUAUGUUCGUUAUUCUUAUUUGUUAUAUUAUUGUUUUUUUUAUUCAUAUAUUUUAUAUUAAAAAAAAAGGACUCAAAUUGCGCUCAUAUGAAAAUCAACAGAGUAAUACUCUCGUAGUAAAGGACCAACAGUACAUGUAUCUAUAAUAAUGUGAAGGAUAUGCAGAAAGAAAAAAAA